rnacentral:lncRNA from 1 species
CAAUAUUCAUUGAAGAUUCAUCCAUGUCUUCAAUGGCAUGAUAGUGCAUUUCUUUCUAUUGAUGCAUAGUGUUCCAUUGUAUGGAUGUACCACAGUUAAUUUCUUCAUUCACCUUUUGACAGAUAUGAUGACUACUUCCAGUUUUUGAUGAGUAUGAACAGAACUCCCAUGACCAUUCACGUGCAGGUGUGCAAGCUUUUGUAUAGGAAGAAAUUUUCAAGUCAAUUGGGUAAAUACUCAGAAACACAAAUGAUGAGGGAUAAGAUAAAUGUUUUAAGAAGUCUUUAUGCUUCCUUUUCUCCCAUGGAUGCAAAUUAACUGCAGAAGUGCUAUACAUCAAGUAUACCUAAUGUCAGACUCUUGACAAUGCUUUAUCAAAGAUGCUAAGAGUCUAAGGUGAUACUUAAAUGAAUAGAUGAUACACAAGCACUAAGUAAGGUCCUAUUUAAACAAUGCAAAGCAAAAUGGAACCGGCCUUUCUAUUCAUACUUCAUUUCAGUGUGUGUGAUAAAUUGAUGAAAAUUGAUUUUCAACGCGAAUGUGGAAGAGAAAAUAAGUGUUGAUUAUUUUAUCAGUGUGCUCUUCACACGAUCUUCAUCUUGUCCAUACAGUCCAGUUCUUGGGAAUCUCAAAAUAGUUUUUUAUUGACACCAAUGAAAAGGAGAAAGAAAGAGUUUAACUUUCUUUCAGUACACAUUUGAAAAUAAUGCUUAAUCAGCUACACUCAAGAAUAAACCUGUCAAUCAAGUUGAGAAACAAAAGGAUCACCCACUCACCUGCUAAUUGCAAAAUUAAGCUAAUUCAUACAAUAGAACAAUAAAUGCCUCCAACUGUCACUCUUGC